AUGCAGAUCACCUGGGGAUCUUGUUAAAAUGCAGAUUCUGGAUCAAGAGGAAUGAAUUCUUCAGUUCUAACAAGAUCCCAGGUGAAUCCAAU
rnacentral:pre_miRNA from 1 species